GCCUAGCCGUAAAAUAUUUAUUUACACCUAUAAACGCCAGAGNAAUUACGAGCGCAAGCUUAAAACUCAAAGGACUUGACGGUGUCCCAUCUACCUAGAGGAGCCUGUUCUAUAAUUGAUAAUCCCCGAUAAACCUCACCACUUUUAGCCUAUUCAGCCUGUAUACUUCCGUCGCAAGCUUACCGUAUGAACGAACAAGUAAGCUUAAUGAUCAAUUCACCAAAACGUCAGGUCAAAGUGCAGCCAAUAAAGUGGGAAGAAUGGGCUACAGUUUCUUAGUAUAAGAACAAACGAAAAAUCACCUGAAACACUGGAUCAUGAGGGNGGAUUUAGAAGUAAAAUGAAAAAAGAGUGUUCAUUUUAACUAAGCCCUGGGACGCGUACACACCGCCCGUCACCCUCUUCGAAAUUUUCAACAACAAUAAAUAAUUUAUUUUUAUACACAAAAGAAGAGGCAAGUCGUAACACGGUAAGCAUACUGGAAAGUGUGCUUGGACAU
rnacentral:rRNA from 1 species